rnacentral:rRNA from 1 species
UACAGAGGUCUCAAGCGUUGUUCGGAUUCAUUGGGCGUAAAGGGCUCGUAGGCGGCCAACUAAGUCAGACGUGAAAUCCCCAGGCUCAACCUGGGAACUGCGUCUGAUACUGGAUGGCUUGAAUCCGGGAGAGGGAUGCAGAAUUCCAGGUGUAGCGGUGAAAUGCGUAGAUAUCUGGAGGAAUACCGGUGGCGAAGGCGGCAUCCUGGACCGGCAUUGACGCUGAGGAGCGAAAGCCAGGGGAGCAAACGGG